GCCUCAGAGCAUCUUAUCAAUUUUAGUAUUUCUGAUAUUUCAGAAUCCUCGUACCAUCUCUCUAUAAAAUAUACUUUCUAGGGUUUUCAGUUCCAAGUCCAACCACAGCCGCUUCUAGAAUUGUCUCCUGUCAAAUUGCCUCGAGGAGUUCAUCGACUCCAUCUUUCACACUCCACUGAAGCUGGCUCAAGAGCAUUCCUGGUUAUUUUGUUGGCAAUUGGAUCUCGGCUUUUCAGUUGUGAUGGCUUCGGGCUUGUAUUUUGAUUAUUGAGUAAUCAACUAUUUAUUGUGCACAGUGAUUAGCAUGUUGAUUGACAUGUGAUAUUGCAUGAAACUAUAAUAUUUCGUGUAGCUGAUUGGUAUAUGAUAUUCGAGGACAAUUCCAGCUUCUUGAGCCAAA